rnacentral:other from 2 species
AAAGCCCUGGGAUGUACGCAAACCGACUAUGUCCUUGAGCCGAUAAUCGUAGCCCGGCAGUAUCUCGUUGUGUUUGGUGUGCAUGUCCGCCUGACGGAAAGCCUAAAAAGCCACAGGUAUCGCCACCUUGAACCUUUGGGUUCAAGGCCAGCUUGGUAGCGGCAUUUCGGGGUUUUC